ACACGUGAGGAAUCUGCCUUCAACACUGGGAUAACUCCGGGAAACCGGGGCUAAUACCGGAUACGAGCUCUGAUCGCAUUAUCGGGGCUGGAAAGUUUUUCGGUUGAAGAUGACCUCGCGGCCUAUCAGCUUGUUGGUGAGGUAAUGGCUCACCAAGGCGACGACGGGUAGCCGGCCUGAGAGGGCGACCGGCCACACUGGGACUGAGACACGGCCCAGACUCCUACGGGAGGCAGCAGUGGGGAAUAUUGGGCAAUGGAGGAAACUCUGACCCAGCGACGCCGCGUGCGGGAUGAAGGCCUUCGGGUUGUAAACCGCUUUCAGUAGGGAAGAAGCGAAAGUGACGGUACCUACAGAAGAAGCACCGGCUAACUAUGUGCCAGCAGCCGCGGUAAUACAUAGGGUGCAAGCGUUGUCCGGAAUUAUUGGGCGUAAAGAGCUCGUAGGUGGUUUGAUACGUCGGGUGUGAAAUUCAGGGGCUCAACCCCUGACCUGCAUUCGAUACGGUCAAGCUGGAGUUUGGUAGGGGAGACUGGAAUUCCUGGUGUAGCGGUGGAAUGCGCAGAUAUCAGGAGGAACACCGAUGGCGAAGGCAGGUCUCUGGGCCAAUACUGACACUGAGGAGCGAAAGCGUGGGGAGCGAACAGGAUUAGAUACCCUGGUAGUCCACGCCGUAAAC
rnacentral:rRNA from 1 species